GAUGAACGCUGGCGGCGUGCCUAAUACAUGCAAGUCGAGCGAACAGAUAAGGAGCUUGCUCCUUUGACGUUAGCGGCGGACGGGUGAGUAACACGUGGGUAACCUACCUAUAAGACUGGAAUAACUCCGGGAAACCGGGGCUAAUGCCGGAUAACAUUUAGAACCGCAUGGUUCUAAAGUGAAAGAUGGUUUUGCUAUCACUUAUAGAUGGACCCGCGCCGUAUUAGCUAGUUGGUAAGGUAACGGCUUACCAAGGCAACGAUACGUAGCCGACCUGAGAGGGUGAGCGGCCACACUGGAACUGAGACACGGUCCAGACUCCUACGGGAGGCAGCAGUAGGGAAUCUUCCGCAAAGGGCGAAAGCCUGACGGAGCAACGCCGCGUGAGUGAUGAAGGUCUUCGGAUCGUAAAACUCUGUUAUUAGGGAAGAACAAAUGUGUAAGUAACUGUGCACGUCUUGACGGUACCUAAUCAGAAAGCCACGGCUAACUACGUG
rnacentral:rRNA from 1 species